ACGCAGGAAUCUUAGACCAACCCAACCCGUGCACCUGCAAGUUUCGCCCGGUCCUUCCGGGUCUUGAGAGACAAACAGAUGUACUGAGAUCAACUCCACGAUUGGUCUACUAGCGGGUACUAGUAACACUCACUUUGCUUCGUAGCGGAGCACAUGAGCGGUGGGACCUCCCCCAUGGUAACAUGGACCCACCGGGCCAAAAGCCACGCCUCACGGCCUCAUGUGUGUGCAACCCCAGCACGGCAACUUGUUUGUGAAACACACCUUAAGGUAACACUGAGACUGGUACUUGAUUUCUGGAGACAGGCUAAGGAUGCCCUUCAGGUACCCCGAGGUAACAAGAGACACUUCGGGAUCUGAGAAGGGGACCAGGAGUUCUAUCAAACUGCCCGGUUUAAAAAGCUUCUAUGCCUGGAUAGGUGACCGGAGGCCGGCACCUUUUCCUUUAUUUAAACUCACUU
rnacentral:other from 22 species